CCGCUAAGAAAAUUUAAAUUCAUUUCUAACAAUUGUCCAUUUAACAUAUAAAGCCAAAGCAAUUGGAAUUGAAAGCUACGAGCAAACCAGUUCACAUCAGCUGCAACGUACAAAAACGCAUGUGCUCAAAAGCUACCAAAUGUUACGCACAAAACGACGAUCCAAGCACAGGGUAAAAAAGGUGAAACGCAAACGACAUGUUGUGGCAAGUUCGCACGCUGCGAAUGGCAACUAGCUGCGAAGCAUCUCAAAGCAAAUGACGCGCAAACGCAACGGCUGCUAAACGACAACAACACCAGCUGCAUUAGAAAUCGACAACUUGAUACACCAAACCGUACAAGCUACAUAGAACCGCCGGCAAAACUCAAUCCCGCAACAACUACAACAGCAACGACUACACAAGAUAAAAACCAUAAGCUGAUGUACAAGCAACAACAACGGCCUUCCACAUCCAACAGCAACACCGGCAAUGCGAAACCUGCAGAAAACCAGAUCCAACAGUUAACUAACCAACUGAAUUUUGCAGCUUCAUAACUAUAACCAACUCAAACCUGCAAUAGAACUUCAACAAAAGUCAGAACCAUAACUGAUGGAACUCAAUAUAUCUUUUCUUCCUCCAAGUAUCAGAGACAAAACCUGCAAAACGCAUUACGAUGGUUUCACUGCAUAUAGUCAUAACAGUUGCCAUUUUAACAAAGACUUGCUAACUGUCAUGAGAACAUCACCAAAAUCAAUCCUAAACUUUCCUAACAAAUUAAUUCAUCAACCACACGUGCACAUAACAUUAACAUGAGAAAUAAGCAUGGAGCUAACAGCAUGACUAACAAGUUCUACCUAGUUCAGUAAGGUUUUUCGCAUAGCAGUAUCGAAUACUUCGUAAUUGCUUCCACCAUUAAUUGUCAGCUUGUUAUAACCUAUACAACUGACCUCAAUCCAUUGUGUAAUUAACCAAAACGCAAUAUGACUAACAUUGGAGAUAGUUUCUAGCGGACUCUAACAACUUAACUAACCUAAUCCAUUCUAACCAACUCAACAAAUAUCCUAACAGAACUCACAACUAACCUAACCAAUCCCUAACCGAAAUUCAUAACAGAAAAGAGAAGAGAAAGAAAUUCAGAAAGCUAUAAAAGCAUACCUCAAUCUCUCUCAAAUGGUUGGAUCCUCUCACCACAUUCACGCUUCUUCAACCUUUUUCUUUUUUUCUUCACUUCCUUCUCCUCCACCUUCAACCUCAUUUCCAUCUUCUCUCCGCCCUCAACCUUCAAACUCAUACACAGCAAUCAAUUCCUUCCAUUCCUAAGCCUGGACAAGAAUUCACAUCCACAAUGAUUCAAC
rnacentral:lncRNA from 1 species